rnacentral:rRNA from 1 species
UACGGAGGGUGCGAGCGUUAAUCGGAAUUACUGGGCGUAAAGGGUGCGUAGGUGGUUUGAUAAGUUAGCUGUAAAAUCCCCGGGCUUAACCUGGGCAGGUCAGCUAAGACUGUUAGACUUGAGUACAGGAGAGGGCAGUGGAAUUUCCGGUGUAGCGGUGAAAUGCGUAGAGAUCGGAAGGAACACCAGUGGCGAAGGCGGCUGCCUGGCCUGAUACUGACACUGAGGCACGAAAGCGUGGGGAGCAAACAGG